GAUUUUCAAGAAUGAUGAUUCAAUUAGAUGUGUGAAAGGAGAAUUCCUUGAUGAACUCAAUUUCUUGAGGCAUAUUUAAUUGUCUGACUUGUUGUC